CUAGCUGCUCUGCACUGACUG
rnacentral:miRNA from 1 species